rnacentral:lncRNA from 1 species
GCUGGAGUGGAGUGCAGUGGCAUGACCAAGGCUCACUGCAGCCUCAACUUCCUGGGCUCGAGCGACCCCCAAGCCUCAGGAUCCGGAGGAGCUGGGACCACAGAAUCGACCCAACCAUGUGGCUUCACCCUGUGGUGAGGAAAGCCCUGCCACAGACAUUGGCCUGGACCCCUGAAAUCCAUCCAGACCAAGCACUUCCAUCGCAACACCCAGCCAGCCCUCUGCAUCUGCAGUCCACUUUGGAAUUUUUAGCUCCUCAGCCAGGUCUGGCUCUGGAAAACUGUCAAGGGUCCUACUUCUCCUCUUGAUGAGCCACACAGAAUCCUUUCCGCCCUUUGUCAACCCAGCACCAGACUCACACCCUCUGUGUUGACAGCGGCCGCCACCUCCACCAGCAGCAGUGGACAGUUAUUGCACACUCGAACCUUGCGCCAGGCACUGUGCUAUGGACUGGACCCGUAAUACCACAUUGUAUCUCACAACCACCCCAUCUUAUAGGCAUGUCCCCCUUUGUCCAAAGGCAAAAGGCUCAGAGGGGUUAAGGACCUUGCCCAAGGGUACACAGGCCAGUCCAGCGGGGAGCCCAGACUAAAACCCACAGUUGCAGGGUUGUUACUCCUGCAUCGACACCUCCCUUUCAAGUCGUGCCGCCAGGAGGGAGACCGCCGAUUCUCACCACACACCCACCCGCCUAAGAGGUCAGGUGGCCUGUGGUCUUCAGGAGCUGGCGUCCACCCCUCCCCAGCCUUAGCAGCCUGUUCCUCCAUCCUGGUCUGGCCUGUCCUCUUUGCGCAGUGGUGACACUGAUAGAAAUCCACCCAGAAGUAAGCAGACAGGAUCCCCGAGUGCAGGAACCAAGCUGGGGAGGGCCGAAGGCUGGGCUGGGUAUGGAGACCCAGGAUUCAGAUCAUGGGUCCUGCUGCCUCAGUCUUAGCCUCUAAGCCCAGACUUCUCAUCCAUAAACUGGGCAGCAUGCUGCCUUCUGUGCCCAGCUGUCGGGAGACGCAGGCAGGGAGGGUUCUGGGAAGGAGCAUGGACUGUGCAGGCCCCACCCUUGAGGGAGACUCAAGAGUAUUCGAGACCAGAUCCCUUACUGGGGCACUACUGAAGUCCAGCCAUGGUCAACAUGGGGCCGAAACGGACAGACAGACGGCCUUUAUCAACCCCUGCCCGACACCUGGUCCUGCUACUGACCAGCCCCACGAGAGAAGGCUGCAGAUGGACAGGCUGAGACUGCAGGCCUUGUUCCAGGUGCUGGGCCACUCCCAUCCUGCUGAUAUUUCCAGGCUAAAACUACCAUGGUCACACUCCACGGUGAGGAGCACUGGGGCCCAGCAAACAGGGCCAGUCUCGAGCAGAGCCUCAGGUGCCAGAUACGCGACUUUGUUUUUCUACAACUCAGCUCCUCUAAGGACCAUCCUGGGGGUGGCAAGAGCUGACUCUUGGUCCUCUGUCCUCACUCCCCACACUCCUCUUCCCGGCAUUGGGCUAGCACAGCAGGCAGCUGCUGGGGGCACCAGGCCUUCGGUGUUAUCUCAGAGACCCAGGGUACCCAUGCCCUCCUCAUCUGCCCAUGGCACUCCUUCCACCUCAGCACAGGAAUUCAAAAGCCUAUUUUGA